AACGCGAAGAACCUUACCCAGACUUGACAUGCACUGGACAGCGCCAGAAAUGGCGUCUCCCUUCGGGGCCGGUGCACAGGUGCUGCAUGGCUGUCGUCAGCUCGUGCCGUGAGGUGUUGGGUUAAGUCCCGCAACGAGCGCAACCCUUAUCAUUAGUUGCCAACAUUUAAGGUGGGAACUCUAAUGAGACUGCCUGGGUUAACCAGGAGGAAGGUGAGGAUGACGUCAAGUCCGCAUGGCCCUUAUGUCUGGGGCUACACACGUGCUACAAUGGUCGGUACAGAGGGCAGCGAAACCGUGAGGUGAAGCAAAUCCCCCAAAACCGAUCCCAGUUCAGAUUGUAGUCUGCAACUCGACUACAUGAAGACGGAAUUGCUAGUAAUGGCGAGUCAGCAACAUCGCCGUGAAUACGUUCCCGGGUCUGUACACACCG
rnacentral:rRNA from 1 species